GGGGGGGAGCGGGGGGGGGGGUCCUCUGCCUAGGUUUUUGCUCUCAUUUUGGCUGCUGGCGGCCAAUCAGAAGCCCUCUUUCAUCCCCGCCAGGGAUAUCUCCGCCAAUCAGGGCGCGCUUUUCAUCGCGGCGCUCCGCCCCCGCACUGGGGGUGUGGGCGCCGCCAGCAGUACCCCCCUGCUGUCGGGGGUGGGGGGGCGCCCCCUGGUGGCCGGAAGGGGCAGGGCGGUGACACCUCCGACAUCCCUCACUCCGACUUUCCCUGGACAGCCUUCCCAGUUGACAAAGAAUUGGCAAAUGGGUCUGUCAUCCAGCUGUGUUUUCAGCAGCUUCUCUACCACAGCUGUGGGACUCAGCUUAUUUAAGUUGUAAUGGUUUGAUUGCCUUGAUUCAUGAACGACUCAUUCUGCCAUCUUCAGAGGUUAAACAUCGCUUCAGUCUUCCCAGGUGGACUAGAAGAGAUAAAGGAGACAGGAUGCCAUUGCAGGAAGAUAUGUCUCACCAAGCAAGAGGAUGAGAGUUGACUAAAUAUUUUCUGCAAAGCAGCCUCUCCUUCCUCUCUCCCCACUGCGUCUUCACUGUGCCUUUACUUGUAGACCUCUAGACCCUCAAUCUUUUGAGUUCUCUGUGUCACGAUCAAUGUUUGUGUUCAGUUCCUUGGAGAAGCAUCAGGAAUUGCCCUGCCUUGAGAUCCUGCCAGUGCUCAAAGCCUUGGAUCCAUCUGGAGAGAGAAAAUGAGCAGCAUAAAUUCCCAGUUUGUGUAUUAGCUAAAAAGGUGGUUAGUCUCUGCUAUUUCUGU
rnacentral:lncRNA from 1 species